AAGUGUCAAGCGGCAGACCAUUGCUUACACGAAUACAUUAGCAUGGNCUAAUGGANAUAUGGACCUGUCCUCCUAUUUUCAGUUGGUUUUGGCACGCGCGAGGACUAGAGGUAACUGAUUAAUAGGGAUACGUUGGGCGGCAUUAAUAUUUAAUUGUCAGAGGUGAAAUUCUUGGAUUUAUGAAAGAUUAACUUCUGCGAAAGCAUCUGCCANGGAUGUUUAACAUUAAUCAAGAACGAAAGUUAGGGGAUCGAAGACAGAUCAGAUACCGUCGUAGUCUUAACCAUAAACGAUUCCGACCAGNGAUUAGGAGACGUUGAAUACAAAACACCACCAUCGGACGCGGUCGUCCUAUGGCGUGUCGUCGUGCUACACCGGGUGGGGAAGCAGCGAGGGCAGGCUAACGCCAGGUGGAAAGG
rnacentral:rRNA from 1 species